UACGGAGGGUGCGAGCGUUGUCCGGAAUCACUGGGCGUAAAGGGUGCGUAGGCGGGUCUUUAAGUCAGGGGGGAAAUCCUGGAGCUCAACUCCAGAACUGCCUUUGAUACUGAAGAUCUUGAGUUCGGGAGAGGUGAGUAGAACUGCGAGUGUAGAGGUGAAAUUCGUAGAUAUUCGCAAGAACACCAGUGGCGAAGGCGGCUCACUGGCCCGAUACUGACGCUGAGGCACGAAAGCGUGGGGAGCAAACAGG
rnacentral:rRNA from 1 species